GAGAGAGAGAGAGAGAAAGAUAGAAAGAGAUAGGAGAGAGAGAGAGAGAGAGAGAGAUGGGGGGAUUGGCUCAAACGAUGUCCCGUUAUUUCACAGUUCUCCUCCGUCAUGCUGGAAGGGGUUGUUUAAGGACAGUGCUUACCUGAGCAAUAGAAACUAGCUUUAAAAAUGGAGCCAAGAAAAUGUCAGAAAAGUGGAGCUAUAAGGUCUGUUUGAGUCCAUGAAAGAUAGUUUGAGAUAAUAUGAAGCCUAUGUAGUGUACCAUAGGGCGUACCAAAAAUAGACAAUGAUAGCCCACCUUAAAAUCUCUCCUUCAAGCAGAGCCACAGGCUGGAUUACCAAACAGGAACAGCAGGCAUUUAUACCCUGGAGUCCUCAGACCCUCAAGGGCCUUUGUUCAUUUAAAAGGGACUGUAUGUAAGUUUUUAAUUGUAUAAAUAAUUUUUUAUUGUCAAUGUGUAUACAGGUGUUUAGACCUUUCUGGGUUUCCGCUAUCAGCCUGUAGACUGCUUUUAAUGUGAUGAACGCAGGCCCAUUUUUUUCCUGGAAAAUCCAACAGAUGUGACGUCAUGCGCGCUCGCAAGUGCCUUUAUUUUCCAAAGAAUGGCUUGGCAGUCGUCAGUAAUGCUCUGGACUGCAGCCAAGACCGGUCGGGAGGAGCCCCAAGCUGUGAGGGCUGUAGGACAUUAACCACUUCAUCACCUCAUGUGACAGAAGUAUGAAUGGGUUGUCGGCUAAAAUUCAGACUGGUGACUGGGGGAAGUCAAGGAAGGGCUAUAGAUUACUGGGUUUUAAAGCAAGAGCUAGAAACACACCAGGAGACACGUAUAAGUCUAAUGGUUGCUUUAUUGAACUCCCACAGCUGCAUCACUAACAGAACUACAGCAACAUAGUAUUAGGAAAGUGCAGAAAGGUAAACAAUUGGUGCACAGCCUAGACAUACAGUACUAUCACCCCUGCACUGCACGACAACAACCCAACAUAGAGCAGCACUUUAUUUUAAUGGUCCCUAUCGUGUUUGGAAGUUUUGUAUUUUCUGUGUUAAACUUGUACACUAUUGGUGCAUUUGACUAUUUGUAGAUUAAGUGAAAAUCCAUUUUCAAAUAAAGUGAAAACACAAAUCAGUUCUGAAAACAAACUACUGCAAUCCACCACUACCAUUUUGCACUGUAGAUUCAAACUUCUCAAAGAAAAUGGGAGAAUU